UAACCCUCAAAUUAUAAGUAAAUAGUUAUAACUAGAUUUCUCAACCUAUGUGCCCAUAUGAGAAUAGAAAAUGAGAGGAUUAAGAAACAGCUUUUAAGAAUCAUUCUAUCAAGUGCCAGGGUUAUAUAGUAUUUUAAGAACAGUGAUACUUCUCUAGCAAACUUAUAAGGUUAAAAUUUUUCUAUUAUAACUUCAUUAUGUGUUCAUAGACCCCUAAAAGUUUCGUUUAUAAAGAAGAAGGAGGGAACACAUUGACUUAGAAAGACCCUCAGCUCACCUCCUCCACAACACAGUGAAUCCACACCUACAUGUUGAGCAAUUCCCCCUGUAGAACUGAGGACUGACUGAACAGGAAUCGAGGGACCAUGCAGAGAAAGGUUGGAGAGAUGGAGACAUAGUUAACAGGAAUCCACCCCCACCCCCCCGCAAUCUUGCCAAGUGCAGUGGGGAAGAUAAUAAGUACCAAGGGACCAGAAGUACAGCUCAGCCCUUGUGGCACAGAAGAAAAAGAUGCACUUUAAAGGGCAUCUAAAAUAUAAAGGAACCAGCUACAGGGCAUCUGAAAAAUGGCAGGGAGCUGCUCAAACACUCUCCCUGGGUCCCAGGUACUGGCCAGCAUCACUGUUUCUAUUUUCUGUCCACCCUGACAGCAGACAGGAGCAGGGUACAGGAAUCCAAGCUGGCUGCUGCUUUAGUGAGCCUCAGUGCCUUAGACCACACUAGCCCCAGCUGCCUUGCUGCACAGGAAAAAAGGCUGUAGAUUAAAAGAACAACUGGAGAUAAUGGAAUGAGCCCUAGGGCAUCUUCCAAAAGGCCAGGGAGCUGCUUGCACACACUAGCAUCUAAGAUGCUGGUGAGGGCCAUGGUUCCCCUCCUCCCCUUCAUAGAAGAUAAAAGCAGGGUCUGGGUACCCUAGCCACCUCCCUGGUAAGCCAAGCCCCCUACUCCACCAAAACCAGCUGCCCCUACAGGUGGCCCUCCAACCCACACUUGCUAGAGCUCAAGCGGUCUCCCUAAGGUAGCCCCAGUGCAGUACACAAUGAACCACCCCUAGACAGCACCCACUAUAGCUCCACCUGUCUUGCCAAGUAACACAGGCCUAAUCAUCAUGUGGCAUCCUAGGCCCGUACCUGUUCACUUCAGCUCUAGAUGACUCACCAGUGCACCAACUGUACCGAGUGGCCCAGGGCCUCCCAACCCAAACCUGCUUCAGCAGCAACUAACCUGCCAGGGUGCCCCAAGUGCGCAGAGCCCUGAGCCCUCCUGGAUGGCAUCUGUCUUAGCUCCAGCCAUCCUGUCAGGGUACUCCCUGCAUGGAGUGCCUUGGGAUCCCUGGGCCCACACCUACUUCAGCUCCUGCUGUCCCAUCAAAGUGCACUCUACACGGAGCACCCUGUGACUCCUAGCCCAAAGCCACUUUGGUUCCAGCUGUUCUGGCAUAGUGCCCCCUGCAUGCAGUACCCAAGGACCACCUGGUUAUGCUUCAGCUCCUUCCACCUUGCCAGGAUGCCCCACUUCCACCGCCUGCUGCCCACUUUGGCUCCAGCCAUCCCACCAGGAUGCUUCAUGGCUAGGACACACCAGGACUCCCAGCCUACACCUGUUAUGGAUUCAACCAGCCAGCUAAAGUCACAGGAACAGUCUACAUUGUACAUAUUCCUACACAUGGUCAUUACCUCAAGUCUAAGAGAAAUAGCUGUUCUGUGUAAUUUACAUAAACACAGAAAACUAAACAAAAUGAGAUAGAGGAAUAGGCUUCAAAAGAAGAAAGCAAAAUUUCAGAAAAAUAAAGAGAGCCUAGCAAUUUACAUGAUAAAGAACUCAAAGUAAUAGUCAUAAAGAUGCUUACUGGACUUGAGUGGAUAAACUCAGAACUUCAACAAAGAUAAAAAAGUAUAAAGAACCAACCAGUUGAAGAAUAAUGUAACUGAAAU